rnacentral:rRNA from 1 species
GUCUACAGCCACACCACUUGAACAUGCCCAAUCUCUUCUGAUCUUGGAAGCUAAGCAGGGUUGGGCCUGCUUAGUACUUGGAUGGGAGAAAAAGUAAAUAAAAGGAAUAUAAAUAGGAAAGGAAGAAGCAGGUU